UCUGUAUGUGUGUGUCACUGUAUGUAUGUGUCUUUGUAUGUAUGUGUCUGUAUCAUACAGACACAUACAUACAGACACACACACACAUACAGACACACACAUACAGACACACAU